AGCCAGCAGCCGCGGUAAUACAGAGGGUGCGAGCGUUAAUCGGAAUUACUGGGCGUAAAGGGCGCGUAGGCGGUUAUAUAAGUUAGAUGUGAAAUCCCUGGGCUUAACCUGGGAAUGGCAUUUAAGACUGUAUAGCUAGAGUAGAGUAGAGGGGAGUGGAAUUUCCGGUGUAGCGGUGAAAUGCGUAGAUAUCGGAAAGAACACCAGUGGCGAAGGCGGCUCUCUGGACUCAUACUGACGCUGAGGCGCGAAAGCAUGGGGAGCAAACAGGAUUAGAUACCCUGGUAGUCCAUGCUGUAAACGAUGAAUACUAGAUGUUGGUGGGUAAAACCUAUCGGUGUCGAAGCAAACGCGAUAAGUAUUCCGCCUGGGGAGUACGGCCGCAAGGCUAAAACUCAAAGGAAUUGACGGGGGCCCGCACAAGC
rnacentral:rRNA from 1 species